CCAACUCAGGAGAAAGAAAAUUAAUAAAUUGGAAAAAAGGAACUCGGCAAAACACAGUUUCGCCUGUUUACCAAAAACAUCGCUCCCCGAUAAAUAACAACAUGAGGAGUCCUGCCUGCCCAGUGACUAAAGGUUAAACGGCCGCGGUAUCUUGACCGUGC
rnacentral:rRNA from 1 species